CAUAUGGGAAAAACAAAUCAAUGGCAAUAUUAGUUUGCUAUCUUUUGCAAAGUGAAGAAAUGACAACAUCGUAAAGCAUUGCAUCAGGCCUUACUGCGGCAUCUCAGAUACUGUCAAACAUCCGAAUAAACUUACCAUUCUACCUUCUCUAGACAGAGCAGAUACUUUUUAGAAUUAAACAGAGGCAUACCUGACAUUUUCAAUCCAAUGAACUCAAUGUAAAAGAGCAUAAUAGAUUCUAGAAUAACUCGCAGAGGUCUGAAAUUGAGAGCAAACCUUCAGCCGGAGCAGCAGUACAGCAGAGCUCGCUGGUCAGAGAGGAGAGUGCAACGCUUCUCACAACUGAACUAUCAUUAUCAUUAGCGGAAGGAAGUAAACAAAAUGUACGUAAACUGAAAAAGCAUAUACCUCAUGUUCCAGCUCAAGCCGAAUGUUCUUCUCUAGGCUCCUUUUCUCCAUCAUGUGAUAGGGUGUACUGCUGCAAUCUAUCUCAUCACCAGAAUCUUCAAAUCUGCUAGGAAUAAAAAAAUGGUAUAACUUAGCAUCAGAUGUGGUUAAUGAACUGUGAUGCAUCCCCGCAAAAAUAAACAAAAUAUGAUGUGCUUAGUUUUAAGUUGUUGCAUAAAAGAAUUCACAAAACGUUCAUUGCUCUUCUUUAAACAUAAGAUUAAAUUGUAAUAAAUCAGGUUUACUGAUGAUUGUCCUCUAAAAUUUCAUCUUAUGUGUUCACAAUGAAAAGCUAUUAACUGAUUGAAAGAUAAUCAGGUAGCCAAACACUCAUUUUCCAAAAGCAGUUCAACACGGGUAAGGUAUCAUAAUCGAAACCACCUCAAUGUCAAACAGAGCCUUAAAAAACUGGCAUGCCUAAACUCAUAAGGAAGACUUCUACAGUUCUGCAGAGGAAACAUUAAUGUUAUAGGCAUAGGUAGUGGCUCGAUGGUAACAUUAUCCUUUGCAAAUUCUCCAUAGGACUAAAGGCUAUCUUUCUACAAGCACACAGGCUUCCACCCAAAAUUCCAAAUUCCUUCCUUUUUUGUUGAGACAAAGGUUAUGAAAUGUCAGAUGGUUCAAUCCAUAUAGGAAACCACGGCACUUUGGUUUCAUAUAUAAGAAAAAUGCAACUGACUAUAGGAACCAAAUUGCAGGAACAAACUCUCACCUAGUACCAAAAAUGCAACUAACUGUAGGAACAGAAAAAAAACUGACUGUAGGAUUCAAGAUCAUUACAAGAGACAAAUCACAAGAGCGAAAAUUUGCAGCACAGGAUCAGCAAAAUUUGGUACCAACAGAGCCUACACUUACUCCUCCUUGUCUUCUUCUCGGUUUUAUAGCAGCCCCAGCUCAUCAAAUAGAGGCCACGCCAUUGAUUUAAGAAUCUUAUCAAAUUGUUGCAAAGGAUUAGCUAUCUAUAGCACAUACAAAACCAUUUUAUUAAUCAACCCAUAAAAGAACGCCGUUGCCGUACAGUAACUUCAAUAACAGAUUCAAAGCUAAUCCGGACCAAUUUGUAGCAGUAUAGAGUAUAGACCAUGUGUUGCUGUGUGCAUAUUACUUGUGCAAAUAGACACGCUUCUAGAAAUAAAAGAGAACUUGUGCAUUGCAGAAUGGAACAUGACGUGAACGCCAUUGCAUGAACGCCACCGUCUAAAACAAAACACACAUACUACAUCUUCUCCCAGCUAGGCGGAAAGGGCAAGAGGGUCAAAGGGGGGCGAGGGCGCAUACCUUGUAGCUAGUGACGGCGUGGUCCAAGGCAUCCACGAGCGCCGGGUCGUCCCACACAGAUCGUCGCCCUUCCGCAUCUCCUCUCUCUCUCCAAGUUCUCGUGGCUUCCUCCUCCGACCUGCUGCGCCUUCCCACCAACAAAGAGGACGAAAAAUGAAAGGCGCCUAUGCUCCAGUAGUACCCGCCGCCGCCACAAGUCGAGCUAGAGGU
rnacentral:lncRNA from 1 species